GACGAACGCUGGCGGCGUGCUUAACACAUGCAAGUCGAACGGAAAGGCACUGCUUUUGUGGGGUGAUCGAGUGGCGAACGGGUGAGUAACACGUAAGUAACCUGCCCUAGACUUUGGGAUAACUUCAGGAAACUGGGGUUAAUCCAAGAUAGGAGCCCCUGCAGCAGGGAGGGGGUUGGAAAGUUUCGGCGGGUGGGGAUGGACUCGCGGCUUAUCAGCUUGUUGGUGGGGUAGUGGCUUACCAAGGCUUUGACGGGUAGCCGGCCUGAGAGGGUGACCGGCCACAUGGGGACUGAGAGACGGCCCAGUGUCGUACGGUAGGCAGCAGUGGGGAAUAUUGCACAGUGGGCGGGAGCCUGAUGCGGCAGCGCCGCGUGCGUAAAGACGGCCUUCGGGUUGUAAACCGCUUCCGCCUGUGACGAAGCGUUUGUGACGGUAAUGGAUGAAGAAGCACCGGCUAACUACGUG
rnacentral:rRNA from 1 species